GAUGAACGCUGGCGGCGUGCCUAACACAUGCAAGUCGAGCGAACGCACGAUAAGAUUGCUCCCCUGAUGUUAGCGGCGGACGGGCGAGUAAGACGUGGAUAACCAUCUUAUAAUACUGGGAUAACUUCGGGAAAACGGAGCUAAUACCGCAGGAUAUGUUCAACCGCUUGGUUCAAGAGUGCAAGACGGUCUUGCUGUCUCUAAUAGAUGGAGCCGCGCUGGAUUAGUUAGUUGGUAAGGUAACGGCCUACCAAGGCAACGAUGCAUAGCCGACCUGAGAGAGUGAUCGGCCACACUGGAACUGAGACACGGUCCAGACUCCUACGGGAGGCAGCAGUGGGGAAUAUUCGGCAAUGGGCGAAAGCCUGACCCAGCCACGCCGCGUGGGUGAAGAAGGCCUUCGGGUUGUAAAGCCCUGUUGUUGGGGAAGAAAAGCUGUGGGAGAAACUGCCGACAUCCUGACGGUACCCAAACAAAAAGCCACGGCUAACUUCGUG
rnacentral:rRNA from 1 species